UACGUAGGGGGCUAGCGUUAUCCGGAAUUACUGGGCGUAAAGGGUGCGUAGGCGGUCUUUCAAGCCAGAAGUGAAAGGCUACGGCUCAACCGUAGUAAGCUUUUGGAACUGUAAGACUUGAGUGCAGGAGAGGAGAGUGGAAUUCCUAGUGUAGCGGUGAAAUGCGUAGAUAUUAGGAGGAACACCAGUAGCGAAGGCGGCUCUCUGGGCUGUAACUGACGCUGAGGCACGAAAGCGUGGGGAGCAAACAGGAUUAGAUACCCCGGUAGUCCCUGAG
rnacentral:rRNA from 1 species